AGAAGUUUUUCCGUGCUGUGUAGGGGCUAACAAUGGACACCCAGAAGGACGUUCAACCUCCAAAGCAGCAACCAAUGAUAUAUAUCUGUGGAGAGUGUCACACAGAAAAUGAAAUAAAAUCUAGGGAUCCAAUCAGAUGCAGAGAAUGUGGAUACAGAAUAAUGAACAAGAAAAGGACUAAAAGAUUGGUCAUUUUUGAUGCUCGACGAAUGCUGGGAAUUCAGAGGAAUGUCUUCACUUAUACUUGGAUUUGCUCUCUUCACAUGUCUGAUUGUUGUAUAGCUUUCGAUUUUGCUCACAUAAAGGUUUACUGA